rnacentral:rRNA from 1 species
ACACUACAUGGGAUAACUGUAGUAAUUCUAGAGCUAAUACAUGCCACGAUGCCCUGACCCAUUCGGGAAUGGGUGCAUUUAUUAGAACAGAACCAACCGGGUGCAUUCCUUCGGGUUUGCGCCUGUCACAUUCUGUGAUGACUCUGGAUAACUUUGCUGAUCGCAGUCGGCCUUGUGUCGGCGACAAAUCUUUCAAAUGUCUGCCCUAUCAAUUGUCGAUGGUAAGUGACCUGCUUACCAUGGUGAUAACGGGUAACGGGGAAUCAGGGUUCGAUUCCGGAGAAGGAGCCUGAGAAACGGCUACUAUUUCCAAGGAAGGCAGCAGGCGCGCAACUUACCCAAUCCCGGCACGGGGAGGUAGUGAAGAUAAAUACGGAUGCAGAACUCAACAGAGGCUCUGUAAUUCGAAUGAGUACAAUUCAAAUCCUUUAACGAGGAGCAACUGGAGGGCAAGUCUGGUGCCAGCAGCCGCGGUAAUUCCAGCUCCAGAAGCGUAUAUUAAAGUUGUUGCAGUUAAAAAGCUCGUAGUUGGAUCUGGGACGCAUGGCUUCGUGCCGUCCCUUGCAUUUCCGGUCUAGCUUAGGUUGGGCUGGAUUUGUGAGGCGGCUUCGUAGCUGUGUAGCCUUUCUGCCGUGUCUGUUUACAGGUGCUGACGGUCAAUACGUUGGCAUGCUUCCAGAUGCCUUUGACCGGGUGUCGGGAGCGGACGGCAA